UGGAGUGGUAAGCCAAGGAGAACCACUGCUGCCCCAAGGACCUGCAUAAGCUUCCAAAGAACCCUGCCACUCCUGAUGUUGAGAAGCUGCUAUGGCUUACCUUGAUGGUGUAUCCCAGGGAGACUGAAGACAAUCCCUGGAUGCAGGACAAUCCGGGAUGGUUGGCAACCUUACCCCCAGGUGCUUCUUCAGGGCCUGACAAAUUUGCUGCACAAGGUUUGAGGCAGACAGACAAACUCCACAUAAGGGAGAAGUGAAGACCAAUCAUCCUUAAGAAUUUGGUUGGCCCUUGCUGUCUGGCCAUUGGACUGGGGAUGUUAAGCAGAGGAAAGACUUGCGUUGACUCCCAGCAGGUGCAAGGUUUUGUGCCAGAACCAAGCCGUGAAAUG